rnacentral:snRNA from 1 species
GUGCUUGCUUCAGCAGCAUAUAUACUAAAAUUGGAACGAUACAGAGAAGAUUAGCAUGGCCCCUGCGCAAGGGUGACACACAAAUUCAUGAAGCAUUCCAUAUUUAA